rnacentral:rRNA from 1 species
AUGGUUGUCGUCAGCUCGUGUCGUGAGAUGUUGGGUUAAGUCCCGCAACGAGCGCAACCCUCGCCUCUAGUUGCCAGCAUUCGGUUGGGCACUCUAGAGGGACUGCCGGCGACAAGUCGGAGGAAGGUGGGGAUGACGUCAAAUCAUCAUGCCCCUUAUGACCUGGGCUACACACGUGCUACAAUGGGCGGUACAAAGGGCUGCGAACCCGCGAGGGGGAGCGAAUCCCAAAAAGCCGCUCUCAGUUCGGAUUGCAGGCUGCAACUCGCCUGCAUGAAGCCGGAAUCGCUAGUAAUCGCGGAUCAGCAUGCCGCGGUGAAUACGUUCCCGGGCCUU